UCUCUCAGCUGUUACCCUUGGCUCUGGGGUAACUGUGUGGAAUUUCAUGGCCCAAGCCAACACGGUGGCCUGUGUGGCAUUUCCAUUUCUCAAGCCUGGCAGGCGAUGGAAAAUGGGAUUCAGGCAAUGUCUCACACCUACAACAGAGUUAGUAUGCAAAAUGUUUUCAACCACCAACUUGCCCCUGACUGAGCAGAUGCAGGUGAGACAGCAUCUUCUACAUGAUCUCAAAAUCCUAUCCCAUCUGCUGCUUUCUUUGGCGGCAUUUGGAACUGUCCAGAGGAUCCAGGUCUCAUGGGUAUCACUUACCUCCCCAAAGCAGCUGGGAAGUGAGUAGCGAGAGCACAAGGAUGCCACGACAAGCAGGAAAACUUCCCUAGGUGAAGAGAUGAAGGGAAGUCAGGAUAUAUGACAGUUUCUUGAACCUCCCUCUGAAACUUGUAAAUCUGAAAUUGAAUCCACUUUAUGGUUCCAACAUCAUCACUGAAGCCAAGAUUGCUCCUAAAUUACCCAACUUGUAUUGCAGAUGACAAUGUGCGGGGUUAGUGAUUUUGCUUUAAAAAUAAAUAAGUAAUUGUUCUCCUUCCUUGAA